rnacentral:rRNA from 1 species
AGAAUCAACGCUGGCGGCGUGCCUAACACAUGCAAGUCGAACGAGAAAGGGGCAGCAAUACCCUGAGUAAAGUGGCGCACGGGUGAGUAACACGUGACUAACCUACCCUUGAGUGGGGGAUAACUGAGGGAACCUUAGCUAAUACCGCAUAAUACCCACGGGUCAAAGGAGCAAUUCGCUCGAGGAGGGGUCGCGGCCGAUUAGUUAGUUGGCGGGGUAAUGGCCCACCAAGACGAUGAUCGGUA